CAAGUCGAGGGGUAUAGUUCUUCGGAACUAGAGUCCGGCGCACGGGUGCGUAACGCGUAUGCAAUCUACCUUUUACAGAGGGAUAGCCCAGAGAAAUUUGGAUUAAUACCUCAUAGUAUAAUGAGUUGGCAUCAACACAUUAUUAAAGUCACAACGGUAAAAGAUGAGCAUGCGUCCCAUUAGCUUGUUGGUAAGGUAACGGCUUACCAAGGCAACGAUGGGUAGGGGUCCUGAGAGGGAGAUCCCCCACACUGGUACUGAGACACGGACCAGACUCC
rnacentral:rRNA from 1 species